rnacentral:rRNA from 1 species
CAAGGAUUCCCCUAGUAACGGCGAGUGAAGCGGAAGAGCUCAAAUUUAAAUCUGGCGCCUAAGGUCGUCCGAGUUGUAGUCUAGAGAAGUGUUUUCCGUGCUGGACCGUGUACAAGUCCCUUGAACAGGCGUCAUAGAGGGUGAGAAUCCCGUCUUUGACACGGACUACCAGUGCUCUGUGAUGCACUCUCGAAGAGUCGAGUUGUUUGGAAUGCAGCUCAAAUGGGUGGUAAAUUCCAUCUAAAGCUAAAUAUUGGCGAAAGACCGAUAGCGAACAAGUACCGUGAGGGAAAGAUGAAAAGCACUUUGGAAAGAGAGUUAAACAGUACGUGAAAUUGUUGAAAGGGAAACGCUUGAAGUCAGUCGCGUCUUGCGGGAUUCAGCCUUGCUUUGCCUUGGUGUACUUCCUGUUUGACGGGCCAGCAUCAAUUUUGACCGUUGGAAAAAGGCUUUGGGAAUGUGGCACCUCCGGGUGUGUUAUAGCCCUUUGUCAUAUACAACGGUUGGGAUUGAGGACUGCAGCACGCCUUUAUGGCCGGGGUUCGCCC